rnacentral:rRNA from 1 species
AGAGUUUGAUCAUGGCUCAGGAUGAACGCUGGCGGCGUGCCUAACACAUGCAAGUCGAGCGGGAGUAUGCAAGCAGAGAUUCGUCAAAGUGUGCAUACGAGAGCGGCGGACGGGUGAGUAACGCGUAGGUAACCUACCUUAAGCUGAGGGAUAACCCAGGGAAACCCGGGAUAAUACCACAUAAUGCGGAGGAGUCACAUGGCUUCAUCGCCAAAGAUUUAUCGGCAUAAGAUGGACCUGCGUCUGAUUAGCCAGUUGGUGGGGUAACGGCCUACCAAAGCGACGAUCAGUAGCCGACCUGAGAGGGUGAUCGGCCACAUUGGAACUGAGACACGGUCCAAACUCCUACGGGAGGCAGCAGUGGGGAAUAUUGCACAAUGGGCGCAAGCCUGAUGCAGCAACGCCGCGUGAGCGAAGAAGGUCUUCGGAUCGUAAAGCUCUGUCCUAAGGGACGAAGAAGUGACGGUACCUUAGGAGGAAGCCCCGGCUAACUACGUGCCAGCAGCCGCGGUAAUACGUAGGGGGCGAGCGUUAUCCGGAAUUAUUGGGCGUAAAGAGUACGUAGGUGGCCACCUAAGCGCAAGGUGAAAGCCCGGGGCUUAACCCCGGCGAGCCUUGUGAACUGGGCGGCUUGAGUGCAGGAGGGGAAAGUGGAAUUCCUGGUGUAGCGGUGAAAUGCGUAGAUAUCAGGAGGAACACCGGUGGCGAAGGCGACUUUCUGGACUGUAACUGACACUGAGGUACGAAAGCGUGGGGAGCAAACAGGAUUAGAUACCCUGGUAGUCCACGCCGUAAACGAUGAGCACUAGGUGUUGGCGUAGAAAUACGUCGGUGCCGAAGUUAACGCAUUAAGUGCUCCGCCUGGGGAGUACGCACGCAAGUGUGAAACUCAAAGGAAUUGACGGGGACCCGCACAAGCAGCGGAGCAUGUGGUUUAAUUCGACGCAACGCGAAGAACCUUACCAGGGCUUGACAUCCUCUUGCAAAGCUGGGUAAAACCGGCUCCUCCUUCGGGACAAGAGAGACAGGUGGUGCAUGGUUGUCGUCAGCUCGUGUCGUGAGAUGUUGGGUUAAGUCCCGCAACGAGCGCAACCCUUGCCUUUAGUUGCCAGCACGUAUGGGUGGGCACUCUAGAGGGACUGCCGGGGACAACUCGGAGGAAGGUGGGGAUGACGUCAAAUCAUCAUGCCCCUUAUGUUCUGGGCUACACACGUGCUACAAUGGUCGGUACAGAGAGACGCAAAGCAGCGAUGCGGAGCCAAACUCUAAAACCGAUCCCAGUUCGGACUGCAGGCUGCAACCCGCCUGCACGAAGUCGGAGUUGCUAGUAAUCGCGAAUCAGAACGUCGCGGUGAAUGCGUUCCCGGGUCUUGUACACACCGCCCGUCACACCAUGGAAGUUGGGGGCGCCCGAAGUUGGGCAAAGCUUACCUAAGGCGAAACCAAUGACUGGGGUGAAGUCGUAACAAGGUAGC